rnacentral:rRNA from 1 species
GACGAACGCUGGCGGCGUGCUUAACACAUGCAAGUCGAACGGAAAGGCCUGCUUUCCCUUGUGGAUUGCGGGUACUCGAGUGGCGAACGGGUGAGUAACACGUAAGUGAUCUGCCCCCAACUUGGGUAUAAGCCUGGGAAACUGGGUCUAAUUCCCGAUAGGACUGCAGGGUGGUGCCUGUGGUGGAAAACGAUUUUCUAGUGGUUGGGGAUGAGCUCGCGGCCUAUCAGCUUGUUGGUGGGGUAAUGGCCUACCAAGGCGGGGACGGGUAGCCGGCCUGAGAGGGUGGACGGCCACAUUGGGACUGAGAUACGGCCCAGACUCCUACGGGAGGCAGCAGUGGGGAAUAUUGCACAAUGGGCGGAAGCCUGAUGCAGCGACGCCGCGUGGGGGAUGACGGCCUUCGGGUUGCAAACUCCUUUCGACCGCGAGGAAGCCACCUGGUUGGAAGGGUGGUGACGGUAGUGGUAGAAGAAGCACCGGCUAACUACGUG